rfam:Pan troglodytes isolate Yerkes chimp pedigree #C0471 (Clint) chromosome 6, whole genome shotgun sequence.
AUUGCUUCUUGGCCUUUUGGCUAAGAUCAAGUGUGGAUUCACCUAUUAAUAACGUUUUACUCCAUUUGCUCUCUCUUGUCUCUAUUGAUCUAUUCGUCUAGAGAGUAGUGUGUCUGUGUGCGUAUCUGUGUGUACAUACGCACAUAAAAU